UACGUAGGGUACAAGCGUUGUCCGGAAUUAUUGGGCGUAAAGAGCUCGUAGGUGGUUUGUCGCGUCUGCUGUGGAAUCGUGCCGCUUAACGGUGCGCGUGCAGUGGGUACGGGCAGACUGGAGUGCAGUAGGGGAGUCUGGAAUUCCUGGUGUAGCGGUGAAAUGCGCAGAUAUCAGGAGGAACACCGGUGGCGAAGGCGGGACUCUGGGCUGUUACUGACGCUGAGGAGCGAAAGCAUGGGGAGCGAAC
rnacentral:rRNA from 2 species